GUAUUUUAAGAAUAAUAGUGUAAUUAUUUAAUUUUUUGAGAGACUUUCAGGUUGCGCUGAUAGUUAAUUCCCAAAAUGCAUUGUGUUGAGAGGUAAACUGUCUGGAAACAGUGCUUUAGAUAUGACGCACAGGCUGUGUGUGCUCUGCAUACCAGGCGGACACAAACACGCGUGGAAAGUUAUGAAGUCAAAAUGAGUUUGAUCAAAGAGCUGGAGAGUGACAGAAAUACACUGUUAUAGGCAGAAUUCAGUCUGGCGUGAAAGCCGAGGGAUCCAGGAUUUAUUUAAGCCUCAACGGGAUAUUUCUGUGCAGCACAUUUGCGGUUUGAUUUCUUUCUUUGCAUUUGUUUAGUUUGGCGAGUGGAAACACAGAGGCGCGUAUAUCAUGAAUAUCGUAACUGAAUUAUUCGUGGUCACUUUUAAAAUAAUAUGGUCGUUUUUACUGGCCGGUGCUAAAUGGUUCAUUCCUCCGCGGGAAAAGUGUGUGGAGGGUCAAGUGUGUGUGAUUACCGGGGGUUGGACGCGGUCUCGGGCGACUCUUGGCGCUGGAGUUUGCCCGGAGACGAGCGAGCCUCGUGCUGUGGGAAAUCAACCGACAGAAGAACGAAGAGACCGCGGAGAUGGUGCGAGAAAUCUACCGAGAAAUCAAACCUUCCUCUGGGGAGUUUAAUGGCUCUUUGGAUAGUGUUCAAGAGUUGUCUCUGUUUCAGCCAAAAGUGUACACGUAUGUUUGUGACAUAGUAAACCCAUGAGUCUUUGAGCCAUGAACUGAAAGCAGCUGAUAAGGAUGGAGUAAAGAUGACGCUUUUCUGUCCUUUUUUAGUUCACACUGGCAUGUUCAAAGGCUGCAAAAUUAGGAAAGAAAUGGCUCUGUUGUUUCCACCACUAAAGCCAGAGUACUGUGUAAAACAGGCCAUGACAGCCAUACUAAAAGACCAACCAAUGAUCUGCACACCACGAGUCAUGUACAUGGUCACUUUCAUGAAAGCGUUAAUGUUUUGCCAUUUGAUGUCAUUGUUUGCAUAUACAGAUUUAUCAGUGCUGAUAAAUGCAUGUACCCAUUUUUGGCUCAACAGAAGGAGUCCACAAACAACAAUUAAUCAAAGACUGGAAUCUAACUGGUUCUGACUGAGCAAUGCUGCAAAAAUAUUUUGCUGUCAACUUUGACGUUGCAAUAAUUACAAAAUGUAGAACACUAUGUAGCGAUUGUCUUUAAUUGUAAGAUGUCGUGUGUUACAUUAGUGAUCAUAUGAUGUGACCUCAAGUUUUCCUUUCUCUUUGGAGUGUUACAAGCUGUUCAUGAAUAGAUAAAAUCACUAAAGGUUUGCAAAGACUAAAGUCUCAAACCCAAAGAGAUAUUCUUUAUAAAAUUUAAGACUCUUCCACGCCCCACUAAAACGGUUCAUUCAAACAUGCCCCCACGUCUACGUCACUGUGUGGGAAGAUUUGCAUUACACCGCCCAAAUGUUCAUGCAAAGAAAGAUGGCGUAACAUUAAUUUCACUGUAGUACUGUUGCUGCCGCCGCAGCUUGCAUCUUGUGGAGAUGCAUUUCGUGGUGAAAGUGAAACUACUUUGUUUGGCCUUCCAAAAGAGGACACAACUAGAAAUCAUUGUUUAGGCUGAAUUUACAACACUGUUCCUGAACAGUUUAAACCAAAUAUUCAGAUAUGUGCAACACAUUUUACAGAGACGAUGACCAUUUCCUGAGAGAGUAGCCUACAAUGCCAGUGUUCUGACAUCCCCACUGGAUGCUACGAAAGUCUCGUUUCUAGUGGGUGACACACGGCAUCACAGGUUGGUAAGGUGUAACAUUUCCGCCACACACUUGAGGCAUUCAGCCAAUCACAACACACUAGAUAGCUGGCCAAUCAGAGCACACCUUGCUUUUCAGAAUGAUGAGCUUUGUAAAAAUCGACGUGUUUCAGAAAGAUGUGGCAUAGAGGAGCAACAUUAAUAUAUAGUAUGAGCAAAGUUUUUUUUUUUUUUUUUACACCUUAAAACUCAAAAACACAUUUAAUUAUACCAAAUAUGUGUUAUUAAUGGUAAUAAUGUUUUUAAUAAUUAAUAAUUAAUGUAAUAAUUAUUAUUUUAUUUUUUUUGUAAUUUCAUAUGAUCACUUUAAGGCCUUUCUCCUGUUUGUAUGCAUUCACAUUUUAUUUGUCAUGUAUUGUUGCUUUCCUCUCAAUAUUCUAAGACUUUGUCACUUGUCAGGAUUUUUCCUCCUAAAAACACCAUGAAAUGCACUAUGUAAUGGAAUUAUUUCUUCUUGUUGCUUUUGUUGUCUUGAUCUGUUGAUAAUUUGGACAACAACAAUGAUUAAAGUAAAAGAUUAGCAGAAAAGUGCAAAAGUGCUUUUUGGUAAAUAAAUGGUCUUCAAAUUAA